CAGGCAAAUCAUAAACACCAGGCUGGGUUCUUUAAACACACACACACACACACACACACACACACAGAGAGAGAGACACACACACACCUUACUUUGGUUAUAAUUCCUUGGAAGGAAGGGGAAAACAUCAAUGCAUAUCCAAGAAGUCAGAGAGGAGGGGAAAAAAAGAGCAAACAGCCCAAUUUUCCAAAAGACCAAGGUGGGGGUUGGGAUGGAUUCCAGAAAAUGGAGACAUUGGUGAGGAUUCAAGUUCCACAAGUAUUCAGCAAAUGGUUUGUGAUCACUUUUAAAAGGUGGUCUGCACAGCAGAAUGAAUUUAGAAAGAACCAAGCAGGCCAGCGUGACCUCAUGCCUGUCCGUAUUGGAGGAGACCCCUUGUUUGGUCAGAACACAGGGCAUCUGUUUCCACAAGCCAUAAGGCCCGUUUCCCACAUCAUGACAUCAUCACUCCAAAGGACUCACCCAGCAGCCGUCCAAGCCAGUACCUUCCAAAAUGAUUUUGGUCCCAUAGCUCACCAGUCAAAAAUGAGCAUGCAUCCCUAAUAUAUAUGACUUAUUUUAAAAUUAAAAACAUGUACUACUGCCAACUUAUAAAUAUGAGUACAGUUUAAGACCUUACUUUUUAGGGAAGAAAAUAUAUAUAAAUUAAAGCUUUUACAUUUUCUUCCCAUUCCCCAAAGGAUUAUACUGAGCACCAAAUGUUCGAACUUAGUGCGUGAUAUGGUUUGGAUCUGUGUUCCUGCCUGAAUCUCAUGUAGAAUUGUAAUCCCCAGUGUUGGAGGUGGGGCCUGGUGGGAGCUAAUUGGAUCAGGGGGGCGGAGUUCUCAUGAAUGGGUUAGCACCAUCCCCUAGGUGCUAUUCUCCUGACAGUGAGUAAGUUAUUGUGAGAUAUUGUUGUUUAAAAGCAUGUAGCACCUCCCGCCUCUCUCUUCCUCCUGCUCUGGCCAUGGGAAGUGCUGGCUUCCCUUCACCUUCUGCCAUGAUGGUGAGUUUCCUUGUACCUCCCCAGAAGCCGAGCAGAUGGCCAGCAUCAUGCUUCCUCACAGCCUGUGAAACUGUAAGCCAAUUAAACCUCUUUUCUUUAUAAAUUACCCAGUCUCAAGUAUUUCUUUAGAGCAGUGCAAGAACAGACUAAUCCAGUGACCUUGAUGCCACACAGUGGUUGCUUGGAGCCCAGUGAGCUUCAUCUUCAACCGGCAUCCCUGACACACCUUGUCCUGGCCUCUACUCCCAAGGCUGAUGGCCUGCUCUUCCUCCCUGAGCAUCCCAGAAUCACUUCUUUCCAUUUCCUCCCCCAGCAUAGCCUUUCCCUCCUAAAUUCCCUCACCUCCCUGAACUUGUUACAAUGUCUUCUUCUCCCCCACAUCCCUAUCUUCUCACUGUAAUAAUUACCCAGCAAAAUCCUUACGUGGUAACAGAAAACUGUGCCUUCAUUUCAUAGUCUGCCUUCUCUUCUGCAUUCAGGCGGUUCAAUAGUACCAGAAAGAUUAAAUGAAUACACAGUAACCACAUAAACAUUGUUACCAGGUUACUGCACACCCUCCUCUUCCACAGGUCUUCUAACACAGUAACUAGGAUUUUUCUUGUCUUCAGCCAGCUCCAUUUCCCUUUAUCCUCAGCCAACCAUUCCAGCCCAGCACCACCCUUCCACCCCUCUAUUUCCAGGCGCCUGCCUGAUGUUCCUCAUCCAUCCACUCAACCAUUCCUUCAUUCAUUCCAACGCUUCCCAGGCAUCCAGGAUGCGCCGAGCGCGGUUUCAGCUCACAGUGAAUCCUACAUCCUAGGAAACAAGAACAUGUCAGGAGUUGGGAAGAUCAUGAAAACAAAGCUCCCUGUUACAAAAUAGGCAGCAAGCAGGGGCCAGAGAUACAACCCACUUCACUCCCUGCCCACUUCUGCCCUCUCCAGUGCUUUCUCAAAUUGAGAUAUUAAUAAAAUCCACAAAACACAGAAUCAGUCUUUAACAGUAAACAAACUUAGCGGCAUUGAGUAUGUUCAUCAUGUUGUGUGACCAUCACCUCUAUCUAGUUCCAAAACAUUUAUAUCACCAUCCCCCCACCAAAUAAAACCCAGAUCCAUCAAGCAUUCUCCCCAUGCCCCUGCCCCCAGCAACACUAAUCAGCUUCCUGUCUCUGCGGGUUCACCUAUUCUGUGUAUUCCAUGUCAGUGAGUCAUCCGCUACCAUUCCAAUUCAGAAACAGCCCUGCCUCCCUUUGGUGCUCUCCCAGCCUCCUUGAGGAGGGCCUGUCUCACAUUUGUCCUCCCACCCCCAUGCCCCCUCCGGCCUGUAUCUCUAAAAUCUCGGAACAGGCUCUCUAAACCUUUGAGCAAUUCUAUCACUCUUGAAAAAAACCAAAACAGGACCAGGUGCAGUGGUUCACACAUGUAAUCCUAACACUUUGGGAGGUCAAGGCAGGAGGAUCAAUUGAGGCCAGGAGUUUGAAACCAGCCUGGGCAACACAGUGAGACCUUGUCUUUAUCCCGCCCCUUCUCCACAAAAAAAGAGUUAAAAAACAAAAAACAAACAAAACAAACACUUCCCUGACAUUUCUUCCUCUGUCAAGACAGCCCCAACACCUUCCUUCCCUUCUCAGCUUCUGAUUCAUUCCAUGGGAUUUGCAACUUGCCAAAACCAAUAAAAACGCAGAAGGCCUUGGCUCCCCAGUGCCCUUUGGUCAUGUGAAGCAUGUGACCUCAGAUAAUUAUUGGUUUUGCCCCUCUGUGCCUCAGUUCACUCAUCUGUAAAAUGGAGAUCCGAGUAACACUUACCUCACUGGAUUUGUAUGAUGAAUCAGAACUACCUGAGUGCUCACAAAUGUCCCCAGCACACUGUGAGGGCUCCAGUGUUGUCACUAUGGUCAAAAUGAUCUGUCCCAUAAAACCCAUAGGCCUGCUCCACUCAGGCGGGGCCGGGCCUUUCUGGCCAUUGGUUCUCUUUGGCUCAGCCUGUAAAUGCAGAAAUUUUCCAAGAAUUGGCUCUUCCAGGUUAACACUCUUUUCGGGGUGGUAUCAUCUGGUCUCCUGACUUUAACCACCAUCAAUGCCAACAACACCUAAACCACAGGGCCCACCUUUCCCCUCUCAGGCUCAGCACAGCUUUGCACUCACAUGGGAACACCUGGGCAAUGCGUCAGUAACCUCAGGAGGCCCUGAACUAUGCAAGACCAGAAUUAAGCGUCAGCCUCCCCUUGCACUCCUCAGCCACCUCUCCUCACUCGCUCCACUUCAAGUUCCCCUGCUCUCCCUUGGGGACCACUGAGGUACCCUGCCCUGCCACCCCACCUCCUGAGCCAGGCUUGCUCCUAUUCCCUCCUUUUCACACUGCAAGCAGAACAGACCAUCUGAAAACCAAAUCUGCCCAAGCCAUGCACCUUUCAGGUGCUCUCCACUGCUCUCAGGAGCAAGUCCAAAUGCAUUCCAAAGGAAGGCUUUUCCUGACCUCGCCCCAUCCCCAGCAGCUCCUGCUCUGUCCUCUAGGCUCUGGGAAUGCUGACUGCUGCCAGCAAUGCUGGAGUUGAACCACAUGGCCCCUGCUGGCAAUGUCUUUCCCAUCCCAUUCUUCCAAAUUCCGCAUAUCUUUCAAGGCUCAGUUCAGCCACCACCACCUCAAGGAAGCCUUUUCUGAUGCCCUAGAUUGGACUAAGCCCCCUCCCUGCCUGCAACUCACUGACAUUAGUGUGAGUCUGUUUUCCUCAUUAGGCUGUAAGCUCCCCGAAGACCUUGUUUAUUUCCUCCAUCUACCCAUUCAUCU
rnacentral:lncRNA from 10 species